UAUAUGAGUUGCGUCAAGCGAAAAGGGACCUUCGUGACAUGUUUAGAAUAACGUCACAAUCGAUCCUAAAAGUAACGUUGUUACAGCCGACAGUUACCGAAAAAAAAAUCUGAACGCGAAAAAAGAAGAAUUUUUAGCAGAGAAAAUACCAUGCAGCAAACGCCAUGGAUAGGCAGAUCAAUCUAUACACAGUGAAGCUGUUUGUUAAGAGUGGUGCAGAAGAUACACAGAGAAAAUUCGUUCUGCUGAAGCCCACCAUCGGACCUGAGGACUUAAUGCCUGACAAUCCUCCGAGCGGAUUGCCUUUGGAGCGAUGCUACCUGUUCCGCAUGGUCCGUGACCCAAACAACGAUACCACGCACUUGUCCAAAUGUUGAAGAGUGAUGAUGGUGGAAUUCUGUUGUUGAUGAUUUAUAAUACUCAUUUUUCUUGUCCAUAAUUGAUCACUAUUUCAGAAAUCAACUUAGCAUUGUUUAUAUAGUCAUUAAAAUGGUCACCAGUGGUAUAGUCUUUAAUUACAUUUGAUAAAAUUCAUUUGCAUUGAA